rnacentral:rRNA from 1 species
CGAACGCUGGCGGCAGGCCUAAUACAUGCAAGUCGAACGGCUCUUCGGAGCAGUGGCGGACGGGUGAGUAACGCGUGGGAAGGUGCCCUUUGGUACGGAACAACACAGGGAAACUUGUGCUAAUACCGUAUAUGCCCUUCGGGGGAAAGAUUUAUCGCCAUUGGAGCAGCCCGCGUUGGAUUAGGUAGUUGGUGAGGUAAAGGCUCACCAAGCCUACGAUCCAUAGCUGGUCUGAGAGGAUGACCAGCCACACUGGGACUGAGACACGGCCCAGACUCCUACGGGAGGCAGCAGUAGGGAAUCUUGCGCAAUGGGCGAAAGCCUGACGCAGCCAUGCCGCGUGUAUGAUGAAGGUCUUAGGAUUGUAAAAUACUUUCACCGGGGAAGAUAAUGACGGUACCCGGAGAAGAAGCCCCGGCUAACUUCGUGCCAGCCGCCGCCGUAAAAC